CCGGAGGCAGCAGUGGGGAAUAUUGCACAAUGGGCGAAAGCCUGAUGCAGCGACGCCGCGUGAGGGAUGACGGCCUUCGGGUUGUAAACCUCUUUCAGCAGGGAAGAAGCGAAAGUGACGGUACCUGCAGAAGAAGCGCCGGCUAACUACGUGCCAGCAGCCGCGGUAAUACGUAGGGCGCAAGCGUUGUCCGGAAUUAUUGGGCGUAAAGAGCUCGUAGGCGGCUUGUCGCGUCGGUUGUGAAAGCCCGGGGCUUAACCCCGGGUCUGCAGUCGAUACGGGCAGGCUAGAGUUCGGUAGGGGAGAUCGGAAUUCCUGGUGUAGCGGUGAAAUGCGCAGAUAUCAGGAGGAACCACCGGUGGCGAAGGCGGAUCUCUGGGCCGAUACUGACGCUGAGGAGCGAAAGCGUGGGGAGCGAACAGGAUUAGAUACCCUGGUAGUCCACGCCGUAAACGGUGGGCACUAGGUGUGGGCAACAUUCCACGUUGUCCGUGCCGCAGCUAACGCAUUAAGUGCCCCGCCUGGGGAGUACGGCCGCAAGGCUAAAACUCAAAGGAAUUGACGGGGGCCCGCACAAGCGGCGGAGCAUGUGGCUUAAUUCGACGCAACGCGAAGAACCUUACCAAGGCUUGACAUACACCGGAAAGCAUCAGAGAUGGUGCCCCCACCUG
rnacentral:rRNA from 1 species